rnacentral:rRNA from 1 species
AACGAACGCUGGCGGCAGGCCUAACGCAUGCAAGUCGAGCGCUGUAGCAAUACAGAGCGGCGCACGGGUGAGUAACACGUGGGAACGUGCCCUUCGGUUCGGAAUAACCCAGGGAAACUUGGGCUAAUACCGGAUGAGCCCUAACGGGGAAAGAUUUAUCGCCGAAGGAGCGGCCCGCGUCGGAUUAGCUAGUUGGUGGGGUAAAAGCCUACCAAGGCAACGAUCCGUAGCUGGUUUGAGAGAACGACCAGCCACACUGGGACUGAGACACGGCCCAGACUCCUACGGGAGGCAGCAGUGGGGAAUCUUGGACAAUGGGGGAAACCCUGAUCCAGCCAUGCCGCGUGAGUGAUGAAGGCCCUAGGGUUGUAAAACUCUUUCGGCGGGGACGAUAAUGACGGUACCCGCAGAAGAAGCUCCGGCUAACUUCGUGCCAGCAGCCGCGGUAAUACGAAGGGGGCUAGCGUUGUUCGGAAUUACUGGGCGUAAAGCGCGCGCAGGCGGUUCUUCAAGUCAGAGGUGAAAGCCCG